rnacentral:rRNA from 1 species
GAUGAACGCUGGCGGCGUGCCUAAUACAUGCCAGUCGAGCGAACAGACGAGGAGCUUGCUCCUCUGACGUUAGCGGCGGACGGGUGAGUAACACGUGGAUAACCUACCUAUAAGACUGGGAUAACUUCGGGAAACCGGAGCUAAUACCGGAUAAUAUAAUGAACCGCAUGGUUCAAUAGUGAAAGACGGUUUUGCUGUCACUUAUAGAUGGAUCCGCGCCGCAUUAGCUAGUUGGUAAGGUAACGGCUUACCAAGGCGACGAUGCGUAGCCGACCUGAGAGGGUGAUCGGCCACACUGGAACUGAGACACGGUCCAGACUCCUACGGGAGGCAGCAGUAGGGAAUCUUCCGCAAUGGGCGAAAGCCUGACGGAGCAACGCCGCGUGAGUGAUGAAGGUCUUCGGAUCGUAAAACUCUGUUAUUAGGGAAGAACAAAUGUGUAAGUAACUAUGCACGUCUUGACGGUACCUAAUCAGAAAGCCACGGCUAACUACGUG